rnacentral:rRNA from 1 species
CGGAGGGUGCAAGCGUUAUCCGGAUUCACUGGGUUUAAAGGGUGCGUAGGAGGGCAGGUAAGUCAGUGGUGAAAUCUCCAAGCUUAACUUGGAAACUGCCGUUGAUACUAUCUGUCUUGAAUAUUGUGGAGGUGAGCGGAAUAUGUCAUGUAGCGGUGAAAUGCUUAGAUAUGACAUAGAACACCAAUUGCGAAGGCAGCUCACUACACAAUCAUUGACUCUGAGGCACGAAGGCGUGGGGAUCAAACAGGAUUAGAUACCCUGGUAGUCCACGCCCUAAACUAUGGAUACUCGACAUACGCGAUAUACUGUGUGUGUCUGAGCGAAAGCAUUAAGUAUCCCACCUGGGAAGUACGACCGCAAGGUUG